rnacentral:rRNA from 1 species
GCCCCUGAGAAGGAAUCUGAGACACUAUUCCCAGCUGCACGGGGUGCAGCACUUGAGGAUAAUUUACAAUGCGCGAAAGAGUGAUAAAAUAAGCCAGAGUGUUUCGUUGUACGAAACUUUUGUCUGCCGUCCAAAGGCAGACGAAUAAGGACUGGGCAAGACCGGUGCCAGCCGCCGCGGUAAUACCGGCGGUCCAAGUCGCAUCCACAUUUAUUGGGUCUAAAACAUCCGUAGCUUGCUUUGUAAGUCUCUUGUGAAAUCUCACAUCUCAAGUGUGAAACGUGCAAGAGGUACUGCAUUGCUAGAGACCGGAAGACGCAAAGAGUACGGUUAAGGUAGCGGUAAAAUGCGUUAAUCUUAAUCGGACUAACAAUGGCGAAGGCACUUUGCGAGUACGGGUCUGACAGUGAGGGAUGAAGGCUAGGGGCGCAAAAGGGAUUAGAUACCCCUGUAGUCCUAGCAGUAAACUCUGCUCACUAAACAUCAGUACCUCUUAGAGAGGUAUUGGUGCUGUAGGGAAGCCGAAGAGUGAGCUACCUGGGAAGUAUAGUCGCAAGGCCGAAACUUAAAGGAAUUGGCGGGGGAGCACAAUCG